rnacentral:rRNA from 1 species
AACGAACGCUGGCGGCAUGCCUAACACAUGCAAGUCGAACGAGACCUUCGGGUCUAGUGGCGCACGGGUGCGUAACGCGUGGGAACCUUCCCUUAGGUUCGGAAUAACUCCCCGAAAGGGGUGCUAAUACCGGAUAAUGUCUUCGGACCAAAGAUUUAUCGCCUUUGGAUGGGCCCGCGUUGGAUUAGCUAGUUGGUAGGGUAAAAGCCUACCAAGGCGACGAUCCAUAGCUGGUCUGAGAGGAUGAUCAGCCACACUGGGACUGAGACACGGCCCAGACUCCUACGGGAGGCAGCAGUGGGGAAUAUUGGACAAUGGGCGAAAGCCUGAUCCAGCAAUGCCGCGUGAGUGAUGAAGGCCUUAGGGUUGUAAAGCUCUUUUACCCGGGAUGAUAAUGACAGUACCGGGAGAAUAAGCGCCGGCUAACUACGUG